GUUUACAACUCCCAAACCCAAUGUGAACGUUACCAAACUGUUGCCUCGGCGGGGUCACGCCCCGGGUGCGUAAAAGCCCCGGAACCAGGCGCCCGCCGGAGGAACCAACCAAACUCUUUCUGUAGUCCCCUCGCGGACGUAUUUCUUACAGCUCUGAGCAAAAAUUCAAAAUGAAUCAAAACUUUCAACAACGGAUCUCUUGGUUCUGGCAUCGAUGAAGAACGCAGCGAAAUGCGAUAAGUAAUGUGAAUUGCAGAAUUCAGUGAAUCAUCGAAUCUUUGAACGCACAUUGCGCCCGCCAGUAUUCUGGCGGGCAUGCCUGUCCGAGCGUCAUUUCAACCCUCGAACCCCUCCGGGGGAUCGGCGUUGGGGAUCGGGACCCCUCACCGGGUGCCGGCCCUGAAAUACAGUGGCGGUCUCGCCGCAGCCUCUCCUGCGCAGUAGUUUGCACAACUCGCACCGGGAGCGCGGCGCGUCCACGUCCGUAAAACACCCAACUUCUGAAAUGUUGACCUCGGAUCAGGUAGGAAUACCCGCUGAACUUAAGCAUAUCAAUAAGCGGAGGAAAAGAAACCAACCAAAUU
rnacentral:rRNA from 1 species